rnacentral:rRNA from 1 species
CAAGUCGAACGGCAGCACGGGAGCAAUCCUGGUGGCGAGUGGCGAACGGGUGAGUAAUGUAUCGGAACGUACCUUUCAGUGGGGGAUAACGUAGCGAAAGUUACGCUAAUACCGCAUAUUCUGUGAGCAGGAAAGCAGGGGAUCUUCGGACCUUGCGCUGAUUGAGCGGCCGAUAUCAGAUUAGCUAGUUGGUGGGGUAAAGGCCUACCAAGGCGACGAUCUGUAGCGGGUCUGAGAGGAUGAUCCGCCACACUGGAACUGAGACACGGUCCAGACUCCUACGGGAGGCAGCAGUGGGGAAUUUUGGACAAUGGGCGCAAGCCUGAUCCAGCCAUGCCGCGUGAGUGAAGAAGGCCUUCGGGUUGUAAAGCUCUUUCGGCCGGGAAGAAAUCGCGCAGGUUAAUACCCUGAGUGGAUGACGGUACCGGAAUAAGAAGCACCGGCUAACUACGUGCCAGCAGCCGCGGU